rnacentral:lncRNA from 1 species
GCUGCUGCGUGCGUGCGCGCGCGCCGCGGGCGGGCCAGUGAAACCGGCGGCCCUGGCACGUGACCUAGGACCGGCUCACCGGGUCGCUUGGUGGCUCCGUCUGUCUGUCCGUCCGCCCGCGGGUGCCAUCAUGGCGGACGCGGCCAGUCAGGUGCUCCUGGGCUCCGGUCUCACCAUCCUGUCCCAGCCGCUCAUGUGGGAUAUGAGCCUCUUCCUCCAACAAUAGGACGAAAUAUUUUUGGGCGGCAAGUGUGUCAGCUUCCUGGUCUCUUUAGUUAUGCUCAGCACAUUGCCAGUAUCGAUGGGAGGCGCGGGUUGUUCACAGGCUUAACUCCAAGACUGUGUUCGGGAGUCCUUGGAACUGUGGUCCAUGGUAAAGUUUUACAGCAUUACCAGGAGAGUGACAAGGGUGAGGAGUUAGGACCUGGAAAUGUACAGAAAGAAGUCUCAUCUUCCUUUGACCACGUUAUCAAGGAGACAACUCGAGAGAUGAUCGCUCGUUCUGCUGCUACCCUCAUCACACAUCCCUUCCAUG